rnacentral:rRNA from 1 species
UACGGGGGGGGCAAGCGUUGUUCGGAAUUACUGGGCGUAAAGGCUCGUAGGCGGCCAACUAAGUCAGACGUGAAAUCCCUCGGCUUACCGGGGAACUGCAUCUGAUACUGGAUGGCUUGAGAUUGGGAGAGGGAUGCGGAAUUCCAGGUGUAGCGGUGAAAUGCGUAGAUAUCUGGAGGAACACCGGUGGCGAAGGCGGCAUCCUGGACCAACACUGACGCUGAGGAGCGAAAGCCAGGGGAGCAAACGGG